rnacentral:rRNA from 1 species
AGUGAACGCUGGCGGUAGGCCUAACACAUGCAAGUCGAACGGCAGCACAGUAAGAGCUUGCUCUUACGGGUGGCGAGUGGCGGACGGGUGAGGAAUACAUCGGAAUCUACUUUUUCGUGGGGGAUAACGUAGGGAAACUUACGCUAAUACCGCAUACGACCUACGGGUGAAAGCAGGGGAUCUUCGGACCUUGCGCGAUUGAAUGAGCCGAUGUCGGAUUAGCUAGUUGGCGGGGUAAAGGCCCACCAAGGCGACGAUCCGUAGCUGGUCUGAGGGGAUGAUCAGCCACACUGGAACUGAGACACGUUCCAGACUCCUACGGGAGGCAGCAGUGGGGAAUAUUGGACAAUGGGCGCAAGCCUGAUCCAGCCAUACCGCGUGGGUGAAGAAGGCGUUCGGGUUGUAAAGCCCUUUUGUUGGGAAAGAAAAGCAGCAGGUUAAUACCCCGCUGUUCUGACGGUACCCAAAGAAUAAGCACCGGCUAACUUCGUG